CACGGACCUCUUUAUCAGAGACCAGCCCUGCACACACACACACACAGGUCAGAGACACACACACAGGUCAGAGACACACACACAGGUCAGAGAGACACACACAGGUCAGAGACACACACACAGGUCAGAGACACACACACAGGUCAGAGACACACACAGGUCAGAGACACACACACAGGUCAGAGACACACACACAGGUCAGAGAGACACACACACAGGUCAGAGAGACACACACAGGUCAGAGACACACACAGGUCAGAGACACACACACAGGUCAGAGACACACACACAGGUCAGAGACACACACACAGGUCAGAGACACACACACAGGUCAGAGACACACACACAGGUCAGAGACACACACACAGGUCAGAGAGACACACACACAGGUCAGAGAGACACACACAGGUCAGAGACACACACAGGUCAGAGACACACACACAGGUCAGAGACACACACACAGGUCAGAGACACACACACAGGUCAGAGACACACACACAGGUCAGAGACACACACACAGGUCAGAGACACACACACACAGGUCAGAGACACACACAGGUCAGAGACACACACACAGGUCAGAGACACACACACACAGGUCAGAGACACACACACACAGGUCAGAGAGUCACACAUACAGGUCAGAGAGACACACACACAGGUCAGAGACACACACACGGGUCAGAGACACACCACACGGGUCAGAGACACACACACAGGUCAGAGACACACACACACAGGUCAGAGACACACACACACAGGUCAGAGAGUCACACAUACAGGUCAGAGAGACACACACACAGGUCAAAGACACACACACAGGUCAGAGACACACACACAGGUCAGAGACACACACAGGUCAGAGACACACACACAGGUCAGAGACACACACACAGGUCAGAGACACACACACACAGGUCAGAGACACACACACACAGGUCAGAGAGUCACACAUACAGGUCAGAGAGACACACACACAGGUCAAAGACACACACACAGGUCAGAGACACACACACAGGUCAGAGACACACACACACAGGUCAGAGACACACACACACCAGGUCAGAGAGACACACACACAGGUCAGAGAGACACACACACAGGUCAGAGAGACACACACACACAGGUCAAGAGACACACACACAGGUCAGAGACACACACAGGUCAAGAAGAGACACCACACAGGUCAGAGACACACACACAGGUCAGAGACACACACAGGUCAGAGACACACAACACCACAGGUCAGAGACACACACACAGGUCAGAGACACACACAGGUCAGAGAGACACACACAGGUCAGAGACACACACACAGGUCAGAGACACACACACAGGUCAGAGACACACACACAGGUCAGAGACACACACACAGGUCAGAGACACACACACAGGUCAGAGACACACACACAGGUCAGAGACACACACAGGUCAGAGACACACACACACACAGGUCAGAGACACACACACACACAGGUCAGAGACACACACACACAGGUCAGAGACACACACACAGGUCAGAGACACACACACAGGUCAGAGACACCACACAGGUCAGAGACAACACACACAGGUCAGAGACACACACAGGUCAGAGACACACACACACAGGUCAGAGACACACACACACAGGUCAGAGAGACACACACACAGGUCAGAGAGACACACACACAGGUCAGAGACACACACACAGGUCAGAGACACACACACACAGGUCAGAGAGACACACACAGGUCAGAGACACACACACAGGUCAGAGACACACACACAGGUCAGAGACACACACACAGGUCAGAGACACACACAGGUCAGAGAGACACACACAGGUCAGAGACACACACACAGGUCAGAGACACACACACAGGUCAGAGACACACACACAGGUCAGAGACACACACACAGGUCAGAGACACACACAGGUCAGAGACACACACAGGUCAGAGAGACACACACAGGUCAGAGAGACACACACAGGUCAGAGACACACACACACACAGGUCAGAGACACACACACACACAGGUCAGAGACACACACAUAGGUCUGAGACACACACACAGGUCAGAGACACACACACAGGUCAGAGACACACACACAGGUCAGAGACACACACAGGUCAGAGACACACACACAGGUCAGAGACACACACAGGUCAGAGACACACACACAGGUCAGAGACACACACACAGGUCAGAGACACACACACAGGUCAGAGACACACACAGGUCAGAGACACACACAGGUCAGAGACACACCACAGGUCAGAGACACACACAGGUCAGAGACACACAAGGUCAGAGACACACAAAGGUCAGAGACACACACAGGUCAGAGACACACACAGGUCAGAGACACACACAGGUCAGAGACACACACAGGUCAGAGAGACACACACAGGUCAGAGACACACACACAGGUCAGAGACACACACACAGGUCAGAGACACACACACAGGUCAGAGACACACACACAGGUCAGAGAGACACACACAGGUCAGAGAGACACACACAGGUCAGAGAGACACACACAGGUCAGAGACACACACACACACAGGUCAGAGACACACACACACACAGGUCAGAGACACACACACAGGUCAGAGACACACACACAGGUCAGAGACACACACACACAGGUCAGAGACACACACACACAGGUCAGAGACACACACACAGGUCAGAGACACACACAGGUCAGAGACACACACAGGUCAGAGACACACACAGGUCAGAGACACACACAGGUCAGAGACACACACAGGUCAGAGACACACACACAGGUCAGAGACACACACACAGGUCAGAGAGACACACACACAGGUCAGAGAGACACACACACUGGUCAGAGAGACACACACACACAGGUCAGAGACACACACACACACAGGUCAGAGAGACACACACACAGGUCAGAGACACACACACACAGGUCAGACACACACACACAGGUCAGAGAGACACACACAGGUCAGAGACACCUCUCAGACUCGUACCAUUCUUCUGUCCAGUCAGCAGGAAGGAGGCAGAGAGGAGUCGCACACAGUGAACCAGAGGCUCCGCCCCUUGGUCUGUGUAGUGGCCAAUCGGACCCUUUAUCCUCGAUGGCUGGGGGAUGAAACAACAUUUAACCAAUCACAACCAGUCAAAAUAAGACAGACAACAACAUUAGCCAAUCAGAAAAGACAAAUGUGA
ensembl:lncRNA